GACGAACGCUGGCGGCGUGCCUAAUACAUGCAAGUCGAGCGAGACUCUUCGGAGUCUAGCGGCGGACGGGUGAGUAACACGUGGGCAACCUGCCUGUAAGACUGGGAUAACACCGGGAAACCGGUGCUAAUACCGGAUAAUCCUUUUCCUCUCAUGAGGAAAAGCUGAAAGUCGGUUUCGGCUGACACUUACAGAUGGGCCCGCGGCGCAUUAGCUAGUUGGUGAGGUAACGGAUCACCAAGGCGACGAUGCGUAGCCGACCUGAGAGGGUGAUCGGCCACACUGGGACUGAGACACGGCCCAGACUCCUACGGGAGGCAGCAGCAAGGAAUCUUCCACAAUGGACGAAAGUCAAAUGGAGCAACGCCGCGUGAGCGAUGAAGGCCUUCGGGUAGUAAAACUAGAGGGUUAGGGAAGAACCAAGAAAGGAGGAACUGCCGGUACCUUGACGGUACCUAACCAGAAAGCCACGGCUAACUACGUGCCAGCCGCCGCCGUAA
rnacentral:rRNA from 1 species